rnacentral:rRNA from 1 species
AUCUACGGCCACGCCACCCUGAACGUGCCCGAUCUCGUCUGAUCUCGGAAGCUAAGCAGAGUCGGGCCUGGUGAGUACUUGGAUGGGAGACCACCUAGGAAGACCGGGUGCUGUAGGCG